rnacentral:lncRNA from 1 species
UAAAUAUAGUCGAAACUGGGAAAUUUUUGAGUGUAAUAUUUCUCAUUUAUACUAUGGCAUACCUUAAGAGCUUGUAGAAGAAUCUGUUCGUAGUUAUCGGAGCUCUAGUGUUCAUAUAUUCUUGUUUGGACUGAAGUGAUAGAUCUCUGUUUGACUGGUUAAUUAUUUUCCUCUUGCUCUUAUUGUUAGUAUUUGGAUUCUGGAAUCAAGUUUAGGAUUAAAAUUAUGUGUUGGAGCAGUAGAGUUGUGGAUGAUUUCUUGAGCUGAAUUAUUGGCCUGAGGUUAGCUAUUGACUAUAACACAUCACAAUGCAAAUCCAACAGAUGUAGAUCAUAGACAUACUUGUG